UCCUUGGUAGCUCAGAUGGUAAAGAAUCCACCUGCAAAGUGGGAGACCCAAGUUUGAUCCUUGGGUCAGGAA
rnacentral:tRNA from 1 species